AUUGAACGCUGGCGGCAGGCCUAACACAUGCAAGUCGAGCGGAUGAAGGGAGCUUGCUCCUGGAUCCAGCGGCGGACGGGUGAGUAAUGCCUAGGAAUCUGCCUGGUUGUGGGGGAUAACGUCCGGAAACGGGCGCUAAUACCGCAUACGCCCUGAGGGAGAAAGUGGGGGAUCUUCGGACCUCAUGCUAUCAGAUGAGCCUAGGUCGGAUUAGCUAGUUGGUGGGGUAAAGGCCUACCAAGGCGACGAUCCGUAACUGGUCUGAGAGGAUGAUCAGUCACACUGGAACUGAGACACGGUCCAGACUCCUACGGGAGGCAGCAGUGGGGAAUAUUGGACAAUGGGCGAAAGCCUGAUCCAGCCAUGCCGCGUGUGUGAAGAAGGUCUUCGGAUUGUAAAGCACUUUAAGUUGGGAGGAAGAGCAGUAAGUUAAUACCUUGCUGUUUUGACGUUACCAACAGAAUAAGCACCGGCUAACUUCGUG
rnacentral:rRNA from 1 species